UACGUAGGGACCUAGCGUUGUCCGGAAUCAUUGGGCGUAAAGCGCGCGUAGGCGGCCCGGUAAGUCCGUUGUAAAAGUCGAAGGCUCAACCUUCGAAAGCCGAUGGAUACUGCCGGGCUAGAGUACGGAAGAGGCGAGUAGAAUUCCUGGUGUAGUGGUGGAAUGCGCAGAUAUCAGGAGGAAUACCCAUAGCGAAGGCAGCUCGCUGGGACGUUACUGACGCUGAGGCGCGAAAGCGUGGGGAGCGAACAGG
rnacentral:rRNA from 1 species